AGAGUUUGAUCCUGGCUCAGAACGAACGCUGGCGGCGUGGAUAAGACAUGCAAGUCGAACGAGAGAAUUGCUAGCUUGCUAAUAAUUCUCUAGUGGCGCACGGGUGAGUAACACGUGAGUAACCUGCCCCCGAGAGCGGGAUAGCCCUGGGAAACUGGGAUUAAUACCGCAUAGUAUCGAAAGAUUAAAGCAGCAAUGCGCUUGGGGAUGGGCUCGCGGCCUAUUAGUUAGUUGGUGAGGUAACGGCUCACCAAGGCGAUGACGGGUAGCCGGUCUGAGAGGAUGUCCGGCCACACUGGAACUGAGACACGGUCCAGACACCUACGGGUGGCAGCAGUCGAGAAUCAUUCACAAUGGGGGAAACCCUGAUGGUGCGACGCCGCGUGGGGGAAUGAAGGUCUUCGGAUUGUAAACCCCUGUCAUGUGGGAGCAAAUUAAAAAGAUAGUACCACAAGAGGAAGAGACGGCUAACUCUGUGCCAGCAGCCGCGGUAAUACAGAGGUCUCAAGCGUUGUUCGGAAUCACUGGGCGUAAAGCGUGCGUAGGCUGUUUCGUAAGUCGUGUGUGAAAGGCGCGGGCUCAACCCGCGGACGGCACAUGAUACUGCGAGACUAGAGUAAUGGAGGGGGAACCGGAAUUCUCGGUGUAGCAGUGAAAUGCGUAGAUAUCGAGAGGAACACUCGUGGCGAAGGCGGGUUCCUGGACAUUAACUGACGCUGAGGCACGAAGGCCAGGGGAGCGAAAGGGAUUAGAUACCCCUGUAGUCCUGGCAGUAAACGGUGCACGCUUGGUGUGCGGGGAAUCGACCCCCUGCGUGCCGGAGCUAACGCGUUAAGCGUGCCGCCUGGGGAGUACGGUCGCAAGAUUAAAACUCAAAGAAAUUGACGGGGACCCGCACAAGCGGUGGAGUAUGUGGCUUAAUUCGAUGCAACGCGAAGAACCUUACCUGGGCUUGACAUGUAAUGAACAACAUGUGAAAGCAUGCGACUCUUCGGAGGCGUUACACAGGUGCUGCAUGGCCGUCGUCAGCUCGUGUCGUGAGAUGUUUGGUUAAGUCCAGCAACGAGCGCAACCCCUGUUGCCAGUUACCAGCACGUGAAGGUGGGGACUCUGGCGAGACUGCCCAGAUCAACUGGGAGGAAGGUGGGGACGACGUCAGGUCAGUAUGGCCCUUAUGCCCAGGGCUGCACACGUACUACAAUGCCCAGUACAGAGGGGGCCGAAGCCGCGAGGCGGAGGAAAUCCUAAAAACUGGGCCCAGUUCGGACUGUAGGCUGCAACCCGCCUACACGAAGCCGGAAUCGCUAGUAAUGGCGCAUCAGCUACGGCGCCGUGAAUACGUUCCCGGGUCUUGCACACAAGGCCCGUCA
rnacentral:rRNA from 1 species